UACGUAGGGGGCAAGCGUUGUCCGGAUUUACUGGGUGUAAAGGGCGCGCAGGCGGGUUGACAAGUCAGAGGUGAAAACCUACAGCUUAACUGUAGAACUGCCUUUGAGACUGUCAAUCUUGAGUACGGAAGAGAGAGAUGGAAUUCCAGGUGUAGUGGUGAAAUACGUAGAUAUCUGGAAGAACACCAGUGGCGAAGGCGGUCUCUUGGUCCAUUACUGACGCUAAGGCGCGAAAGCGUGGGGAGCAAACAGG
rnacentral:rRNA from 1 species